CACCGCGCCCAGCCUGGUGAAAAUCUCUUAGUUCUUGGACAGCAGUAUUAGAAAAGCGUAAGAAAAUCUUCAAAACCUGGAGCUCUGCUGGUUGGACUUUUGUACUGAUAGCACCUUUACCGGAGGCUGCAUGUUUAAAACCCGAAGAAAACUUUGCUUUUCUGAACGAAUA
rnacentral:lncRNA from 1 species